GUUUUUGUAGUUGAAUAACAACGGUGGUUUUUCGGGCCACAGGUUUUGGUUAAAAUAGUCCAAAUGAGAAUC
rnacentral:tRNA from 1 species